CUAUGCGCCUUGCCAGCCCGCUCAGGUGUGCCAGCAGCCGCGGUAAUACGUAGGUGGCAAGCGUUAUCCGGAAUUAUUGGGCGUAAAGAGCGCGCAGGUGGUCAAUUAAGUCUGAUGUGAAAGCCCACGGCUUAACCGUGGAGGGUCAUUGGAAACUGGUUGACUUGAGUGCAGAAGAGGGAAGUAGAAUUCCAUGUGUAGCGGUGAAAUGCGUAGAGAUAUGGAGGAACACCAGUGGCGAAGGCGGCUUCCUGGUCUGCAACUGACACUGAGGCGCGAAAGCGUGGGGAGCAAACAGG
rnacentral:rRNA from 1 species